rnacentral:pre_miRNA from 1 species
AGUAGAACUGCUAGGUCAAAUGAUAACUCUAUAUUUAACUUUUUGAGGAACUGCCAAACUCUUUUUCAAAGUGGCUGCACCAUUUUGCAUUCCCACCAGCAAU